rnacentral:rRNA from 1 species
CCUACGGGCGGCAGCAGUGAGGAAUAUUGGUCAAUGGACGAGAGUCUGAACCAGCCAAGUAGCGUGAAGGAUUACUGCCCUAUGGGUUGUAAACUUCUUUUAUAUGGGAAUAAAACAGGGUAUGCAUACCCUCUUGUAUGUACCAUAUGAAUAAGGAUCGGCUAACUCCGUGCCAGCAGCCGCGGUAAUACGGAGGAUACGAGCGUCAUCCGGAUUUAUUGGGUUUAAAGGGAGCGUAGGUGGAGUGUUAAGUCAGUUGUGAAAGUUUGCGGCUCAACCGUAAAAUUGCAGUUGAAACUGGCAGUCUUGAGUACAGUAGAGGUGGGCGGAAUUCGUGGUGUAGCGGUGAAAGGCUUAGAUAUCACGAAGAACUCCGAUUGCGAAGGCAGCUCACUGGACUGCAACUGACACUGAUGCUCGAAAGUGUGGGUAUCAAACAGGAUUAGAGACCCUGGUAGUC